rnacentral:misc_RNA from 1 species
UAGAGUAUUAUACUCACUAAAAACCAUUGUUUAUCUACCUAUAUUGGCUUCUCCGGCAGGAGGUUCCAGGGCGGGACCGAGCUUAACAGCACCUGCCGAAGGGGCAACUCACUGCUCUAUAUUAUACUGUCUGAGUACCAAAAAAAACAAAUAUCA